CCUACAAGGAGCAGAACAGGGCAGUGCUGGCCUUUCUUUGCUCAUUGCUUCAUGAGCUUUGGCAGUUGAAGACUGGGGAAGGACCUCCUCUUUGCACAGUGUGCAUUUAGAACUGUCUCCAGUUCACAGAAGGACAGUUCAUGAUGUUAUAUGACCUUUAUGGGUUGAAUCUGGCCACUGUGUGGGAUCCACUGAUUUGAAGUCAAUAUAAAGGCUCUUUGUUUGCUCUUUGGCACUGCCUUUACAGCUGAUAUCCAACUGGCAACCUGGAUGAAGUCAGGCUUCUGUGGAAUUAGGGGCCAGUUAAAGCUGAAAACCAGGAUAUGCACUUCAGUACUGAUGUACAUUAGAGCUCCAGAGAAUUCCCUGGUAGACUGCUCUCAGAAAGAAUGGCUGUCAGAAGCCAAAUAAAAACAUAUGUCCAAUGCGUUGAUGUUUCUUACAGAUCUAGUAACUCAUGAGUGAACAUGCUGCUAGGGAGCCUGCUGAAAGGGAAACUCAGGCCAACCAUUUCCCCUGGAACAACCUGCUUAUGCUGCUCUUAAAUGGUGUGUAGCAAGAACACCUCAAGAAGUAUUAAAAAUCACCAUUAAUUGCCAGAGCUGUACAGUUUGUUUAAUCGCUGCAUUUUAUGUGCUUAUCAAUAUAGCACACCACCUAAACUCACCCUGGUGGAAUGUUCGGUUAUACUUAGUGCACAGAGGAUGUGGACAGAAAAGUGGAUGGAAAAGUCCAGCAGAACUGGAUGGGUGUUUUAGUGAAACUGAAGAAUGAAAAAAUUGCAAUUGGCACCUGUAAUUUUGGUUGUUUUUCUUAUGUUGCUAAAGAGACAAAAACGAAGUCAUGGUGCAGAGUGGGAAAAGCUGUGUUUGGACCUAAUCUUGUCAAAUGGGAGCAGGAGAGGAAGGAUCCUUUUAAUGAAGACCUCCUGGCUGGGUAUUUCAGGCUACAGUCUUGCUCUUCUCCUUAUAGAGGGAUACCUCCUGCUAGUGCUUAAAAAUGUUGCAGUGUGGAUGGAUAGGUGCACUUUGAGAUGGAUGCAUAAGAAAAACAAGAAACUUAUUAACACAAAACCAUUUUAGGGCCUGAUUAAUCCAGAAAGAUUGAAGUAAGGGGAGGAUGGUGAAGGGAUUAAUCAAUUUCAGUGAAUAAAAAUGCAAGACAAUAUUGCUGAAGUUGAUAAAGAUGGGUCUAUAUUUAAAGAGAUCAGGAUUCGCAACACGUUUCGUGACUUAUUAUGCAGAGAAAAUUAUUACUACCCAUUAAAGAAUUAGCUUUCACAUAAAAUGAAGAAGUUGAUUAGUGCACCUCAGAGUGGCUAGCUUCUAAAAUUAUAAAAUUAAUGAAUGUAUGAAAUAUUUAAUUUCACACAUAAAUAUCUGUGAAUAGAAAUUAAUUACUGCAUGCGAUAAAGACAUUUAUUGCACAUAUAGGAUCAAAUAUUAAACAUGUGCUGAAUUAAAAAUGUGAGCAUUUUGAUAGCAUGUGUGUAAUUGAUUUGGAUUUCUGUUGAAGUUUUUUAUAACUGUAUAAAGAACCAUAGAUCAACUCUGUAGUGCAAUGAAAAGAUGAUGAACUCUAUGUUUAUUUUCAAUAUUGAUGGCAAGUUAAUAAAGGAAAUCUUUGAUUC
ensembl:lncRNA